rnacentral:lncRNA from 1 species
CCUUGACAGCAGGCCCGCUUCCUGAACAGACACCAGACAGGAAGAAACUCACCGGUCUGACCCGAAUUUCUUCACAAUUUUCAACCCUUGCCCUUGCGAUUGCCAUUUUUAGCACUCUCUUAUUAUCAUCUACAGUGUUACGGCUCCAGUCUCUGCUACUUCGUGCCUUUUCAACUCACAAUCAGGCAAGUUUAUAUUUCUCUCUCUAAUCUUGAUCAUACUUUUGUUCCCAAAAUUUAUCAUUUUGGCCUAGUAGUAAGUUUGUCAGUAUCUAGGAUUCGUUCUUGUUUGCGGAUAUUUGAUCUGUUGAAUUCGUUAUUCUAUAUUAGAUCUAGGCCUUCAGUCCUUUUCUGUUUUUAAUUUUUGUUUGAUGGUCGUAUUUUUGAGAAUAUGUAGUUUGUGCGAAUGUAUUUCAUUGGAUUUUGAAGGUUUAUUAGUUGCAUGUUGGGAAUUUUGGUAUAGCUCGUUGAAUCUCAAUUCCUUGUUUGAAUGGUAUUAGGCAUCCUGGUGUUAAGAGUUGAGUAUAGAAAAUGCUGUUAUUACGGUGAGGAAAAACGAAAAUUGUUUAUUUUUACGACUAAUUUCUUGUACUUAAAAUAAUCCCCAAGGAUAGAAUAUGUCCAUUUCUGUUUAAAGGUUGAACAAGUUUGAUUUACCAAUCUUAUCUCUACGCCCACCUAUCGGGAUGAAGAAAAACAAAAUGUAGACUGGAUAAAUCAUUGAAAAUGCUAAUCUGACUUCUUCUUGUCAACAUGAAACUUACUCACUAGAUUGAGAAGUUGUAAUGAGUCUCUUGGUUAUCGAUUUCCUUUUUGCUGAGAAGUUUUGUUUUAGGGAAUAGAACAGAAUAGUUGAAGAAUAAAUGAAUAAUGCAGGAUGUCUGAAGAGCCCUUUAGGCCAUGGGAAAAGCUGGUUGAGAAGCAGAAGUAUUUUCAGAGCAUCCACAAACACACAUAUCUGAAAGGACCGUAUGACAAGAUUACUUCAGUCGCCAUUCCUUUGGCUUUGGCUGCUACUUCUUUAUAUAUGAUUGUGAGUUCGUUUUGCUCUUUUAAGUGUUUAGGCUAUUUUUAUCCAAAUUGAGUUUGAUCUGAUUGUUCUUGAUGAUUGUCGUUCAGGGAAGAGGGAUCUAUAACAUGUCUCAUGGGAUUGGGAAGAAGGAAUGAGGAUAUGUUUUCUGUACAGUGAUUUCAAAAUAGUAUGUUCUUGAAGUAUGCUUUGUUUAGUUCGGACAUGUUAUGAGUAAUGGAUGUACGUUCUUUGUCCUCGAUGACUUGGUUGCAAUUCCCAUCAUUCGGUUUUCCUUGGAAUACGAUUGAAAUUCAAGAAGUAUCCGUUUAACUUUAUGAUAUUUCUUAGUAAAUGAAGAAGAAUUGACGUAAAUCUUACUAUGCCUUGAAGUUUGUUGAACGUAACUUGGUUAGAUAAGUAUAUUUUUCAGUGUUUCUUUGUACGAGUUGUGUGCAUAAAACUAGCUAUGCUUUUGCUACAAACUUGAAUGGCCGUUGUCGCAUCUUUGAGUUUUGUUUCAUUGGCACUAAGACUGUUAAGAGUGUUGUAUUAUUUCCUCUUGAUCUUUAUUUGGUCCCAUUAGCAAGUGUUACAUAAUAAAUCGCCUUAAUGAGGAGAGAUUCAACUCGUAAAUGUGGCACGUGUGUGGACUGGAGACCUUAAGUGCCAAUUUGGCAAUUUCAUAUUGCCAGUAGUGCUAUAAAAUCAAUCUAUGCGUUAAUAUGUGAAAUGAGAGGUAUAAUUAAAUUGAGUCUGUCAUGCAGUGCUAUGCAGCUAUGGUAUUGGGA